rnacentral:rRNA from 1 species
CGAAAGCCUGACGGAGCAAGACCGCGUGAGGGAGGAAGGCUCUAGGGUUGUAAACCUCUUUUAUCAGGGAAGAAGCUCUGACGGUACCUGAGGAAUCAGCAUCGGCUAACUCCGUGCCAGCAGCCGCGGUAAUACGGAGGAUGCAAGCGUUAUCCGGAAUCAUUGGGCGUAAAGCGUCCGCAGGUGGGAGUUCAAGUCGAUUGUCAAAGGCAGUAGCUUAACUACUGAAAGCCAGUGGAAACUGAACAACUAGAGUGCGUUAGGGUUAGAGGGAAUUCCCGGUGUAGCGGUGAAAUGCGUAGAGAUCGGGAAGAACACCAGUGGCGAAAGCGCUCUACUGGACUUAUACUGACACUGAGGGACGAAAGCUAGGGGAGCG